CCCCUCAUAGCUCAACGGAUAGAGCAACAGCGUCCUAAGCUGCGGGCUGCAGGUUCGAAUCCUGCUGAGGGGG
rnacentral:tRNA from 1 species